UACGUAGGGUGCAAGCGUUGUCCGGAAUUAUUGGGCGUAAAGAGCUUGUAGGCGGUUUGUCGCGUCUGCUGUGAAAUUUCGGGGCUCAACCCCGAACUUGCAGUGGGUACGGGCAGACUAGAGUGUGGUAGGGGAGACUGGAAUUCCUGGUGUAGCGGUGGAAUGCGCAGAUAUCAGGAGGAACACCGAUGGCGAAGGCAGGUCUCUGGGCAGUAACUGACGCUGAGGAGCGAAAGCGUGGGGAGCGAACAGG
rnacentral:rRNA from 1 species